rnacentral:lncRNA from 1 species
CUCCCACUAAUUUAAAUUUAAAACUAUACAAUCACCACCAUUGUCUACGUUCACACAAAAAAUAUCACUAUUUUUACGAACUGAAGAACACAACAAAGAACUAUAGCAACUGGAAUGGCCAUCAUUUUCUAAUCUAACGGUUCCAGAAACACUACACUUACCACUGCUACUUUUGAAAUCAUAACAAUUAACUGAUGAAAUCGAUCUACCAAGAACAUGGGAGAGACCCAUUUGACGAAAAAGCCGGAGUCUACGCUCUUGAAUAGAUCAAGGUUCAGAGAUCCAAACAUCAUAGUUAUUUGAAACACCCAUUGCACAAUUAAAAAUACAAUCUCUAUCUUUGUCUCCUUCUCCUUCGUCUUCAGAGAGCGAGGACGAAGAGGAACAAGAAGCGUUUGCAAAAGAAAGCAAACGAUCAAGAGAGUCGUAAAAACACUCUUUCUUUUCUUCUUCUACUUCUUUUUCUUUGCUCAUUCUUCUCCUCCAAAUGGAGGCAUUCCCAUAAAAAUGCCCCCAAAAUCACCUCAAUUUAGCUCAACAAUAACUCUAAAUAGCCAAAUCUUGAACAAUGGUGUAUAGUUGUAAAUAAUGAUGGGAUGGG